rnacentral:lncRNA from 10 species
UGCCCAGGCUGGAGUGCAGUGGCGCGAUCUCGGCUCACUGCAAGCUCCGCCUCCUGGGUUCACGCCAUUCUCCUGCCUCAGCCUCCCGAGUAGCUGGGAUUACAGGCGCCCGCCACCAUGCCUGGCUAAUUUUUUAUUUUUAGUAGAGACGGGGUUUCUCCAUGUUGGUCAGGCUGGUCUCAAACUCCCGACCUCUGUUGAUCCGGCAGUCUCGGCAUCCCAAACUGCUGGGAUUACAGGCGUAAGCCACCAUACCCGGCCAAUAUUAUUUAAAGAAGAAAGGUCUUGCCUCUAUUCACAUGGCUAUUCUGUGCUUGAGUUGAAAUGUGAACAUAAUUCGUGGCUAGCACUUUUUAGACACAUUGCUAUGUAUACUUACCUGCAAGCAUGCAUGCGUGCACACACACACACACACACGCACCACACACACUCUCUCUCUUAAUAUUUAUCCUAAUUAGCAAUCAUGGAAUGCUGUAUUAUGUUCUAUUUUGCCUGUUAUCUUGACAAUAAUUAAAAACAGCAAAUCUAAUGUUAGAAAGUUAUAGGAAUAUUUAAAUUCAUAUACACUACUAGGGGUACAUUUAAAUUGUGAAGAAAAUGUGACAAUAUAUUCCAAAUGCUUAAAAUGUCGCUGUAUCCCUUGGCCUAUUCUAUUAGAUUCAGACAGAAAAGAGAUGACUUACUUAACAGAUAUAAAUAAGGGGAGAUUGAUGGAGGUGCUAUUUACGGAAGUGUGGCCAAGAGUAAAAGAAUCAAAGCAUAUGAAGCAUUUAGCGACUAACAACAUGGGAAGCCAUUUCCACCUCUGAGGCAGAAGAGGUAAGUCUGGUGACUGAUGAAACCCAAGCAUGGAGAAAGAGGCAUAGGAGAUUAAACCACAGAACUCAGCUGUUGUCAAACCCGAGGCCAGCCACUAGGAGGUGGAAGCACUACAGAAGAAGCACCCCAACUUCUCUUUCCUCUCACCAGCUAAUCUGCCAGAGCCAGCGGCUCUCAUUGUUGUCAGGGGAACGAUGGAAAGCCAAGGUCCCAAGUGAUGAAGCUCAUGAGGGUGACCCUGCUUUGGAACCAGGCAGGACAGAGAAGGGCAGUAAAUGGAUCUUCGGGGUGUUCUCAUGGAAAACAGAGAGUGAUCUGCAUACUCAUCAAGCCAUCCCUGAAGAAGUAAGCUGAGAUUAGUGCAAAAAUGUAUACACAAAAUGCUAAUGCUAAUGCUAACAUUAUUUAGAAACAUAAGAUCGUGGGAAUACUAUAUAUAAUCAGAAGUAAGGUAUUG